rnacentral:rRNA from 1 species
UACGUAGGGGCCAAGCGUUGUCCGGAUUUAUUGGGCGUAAAGAGCUCGUAGGCGGUUCGGCAAGUCAGCUGUGAAAUCUCCACGCUCAACGUGGAGGGGUCAGCUGAUACUGCUGUGACUUGAGUCCGGUAGGGGAGUGUGGAAUUCCCGGUGUAGCGGUGAAAUGCGCAGAUAUCGGGAGGAACACCAGUGGCGAAGGCGGCUCACUGGCCCGGUACUGACGCUGAGGUGCGAAAGCGUGGGGAGCAAACAGG